GGGGGAUAUUGCACAAUGGAGGAAACUCUGAUGCAGCGACGCCGUGUGAGGGAAGAAGGUCUUCGGAUUGUAAACCUUUGUCCUUGGUGACGAUAAUGACGGUAGCCAAGGAGGAAGCUCCGGCUAACUACGUGCCAGCAGCCGCGGUAAUACGUAGGGAGCGAGCGUUGUCCGGAUUUACUGGGUGUAAAGGGUGCGUAGGCGGCUCUGCAAGUCAGGUGUGAAAACCAUCGGCUUAACUGAUGGACUGCAUUUGAAACUGUGGGGCUUGAGUGGAGUAGAGGCAGACGGAAUUCCCGGUGUAGCGGUGAAAUGCGUAGAGAUCGGGAAGAACACCAGUGGCGAAGGCGGUCUGCUGGGCUCUAACUGACGCUGAGGCACGAAAGCAUGGGUAGCAAAC
rnacentral:rRNA from 1 species